AUGAACGCUGGCGGCGUGCCUAAUACAUGCAAGUCGAGCGAACGGACGAGAAGCUUGCUUCUCUGAUGUUAGCGGCGGACGGGUGAGUAACACGUGGAUAACCUACCUAAAAGACUGGGAUAACUUCGGGAAACCGGAGCUAAUACCGGAUAAUAUUUUGAACCGCAUGGUUCAAAAGUGAAAGACGGUCUUGCUGUCACUUAUAGAUGGAUCCGCGCUGCAUUAGCUAGUUGGUAAGGUAACGGCUUACCAAGGCAACGAUGCAUAGCCGACCUGAGAGGGUGAUCGGCCACACUGGAACUGAGACACGGUCCAGACUCCUACGGGAGGCAGCAGUAGGGAAUCUUCCGCAAUGGGCGAAAGCCUGACGGAGCAACGCCGCGUGAGUGAUGAAGGUCUUCGGAUCGUAAAACUCUGUUAUUAGGGAAGAACAUAUGUGUAAGUAACUGUGCACAUCUUGACGGUACCUAAUCAGAAAGCCACGGCUAACUACGUG
rnacentral:rRNA from 1 species